rnacentral:rRNA from 1 species
GACGAAGGGGGCUAGCGUUGUUCGGAAUUACUGGGCGUAAAGCGCGUGUAGACGGUUGUCAAAGUCGGGUGUGAAAGCCUUGAGCUUAACUCAAGAAAUGCACUCGAUACUUGGUGACUAGAGGACCGGAGAGGAUAGUGGAAUUCCCAGUGUAGUGGUGAAAUACGUAGAGAUUGGGAAGAACACCAGUGGCGAAGGCGGCUAUCUGGACGGUUUCUGACGCUAAGACGCGAAAGCGUGGGGAGCAAACAGG